UUCCCCAUGUGAGAGUAGGACAUCGCCAGGC
rnacentral:rRNA from 1 species